rnacentral:tRNA from 1 species
GCCGACUUAGUAUAUGGUUAGUGCAUGGGAUUGUAGCUCCCGGGGAAGAGAUUAUUCUGGUCGGAG